rnacentral:rRNA from 1 species
UACGGAGGGUGCAAGCGUUAUCCGGAUUUACUGGGUUUAAAGGGUGCGUAGGUGGGUUGGUAAGUCAGUGGUGAAAUACUUUCGCUUAACGAAGGAACUGCCAUUGAUACUACCAGUCUUGAAUACAGUGGAGGUAGGCGGAAUGCGUCAUGUAGCGGUGAAAUGCUUAGAUAUGACGCAGAACACCAAUUGCGAAGGCAGCUUGCUACACUGUUAUUGACACUGAGGCACGAAAGCGUGGGGAUCAAACAGA